CUUCUCAUGGAUUUUUUGGUUCUAAAUGGAUAACCUGUUUUUGUUGGACUUGUUGUAUCUGCCACUAUUGGUGCAUUAUCCUGCUGAAAGUGCCCACUGCCAUCAGGGGAUGCGGUUUCCAUUAAAGGGUGUACAUGGUCUGCAGCAAUGCUUACGUAGGUGAGGUUACUGAGGCAACAGUCUCCCCUGCGUGUGAAGCUGUCUGAGCCAUGUGAGGAGUACUACAGCAUCUGAACACAUUGUCCACAUCCUGUGACCUGCAUGUGAGAAUGUGGAGUGAAAUUACAUAAUCUCACAGCGUGCCGCCCAAUCCCGGGCAGCUCUCGACACUAAACCUUUGUCCAAAACACGUUCAAGUCAAUGAAUGCAGCCUCCUCGAACAUUGUGUGCUUAUGUAACAGCGCUGCUGUCUGACAGUUGGAGGGGAAUGACAAUGAGAAAGGUCUGGCACUGCCAAGAUUUCUCAGGGAAACCAGUCAGCUUGUUUUUGUCAAGUGCACACCAAAAGUGAUAGUUGUUCAAACAGGAGUCUCAAAUAAACAUUACUAAAGUGUUGAACUGUAAUACAUUGUAUUUUGCUGUUAAAUAAAAUGUUUUAAUCUGGAAAAAGUUGUGAAUUUCUAGAAAGACAAUGUUUUUUCACCUAAGAUAACUUGGAGUGUGGUUCACAACAUUUUUGGCUUGCAGACUAGUUUGACAUUAUUGGGGAAACAUGCAUAUUCACCUUUUGUUGCCAAGAGUUAGACAAGACUGAUAUAUUAUCACUUUCAUAUCUGUUAAAUAUAAGGCAACAGCUAGCAGCAAGUUAGCUUAGAUUUUCACAAAGACUGGAAACAGGGGGAAACGGCAAUCCUGAUGCAGUCCAAACAAAGCUUCCUCCGCUGGAUGUCUGGCAAACUUUCUUUGUAUGGAUUAAACAAACAAGAUAUAGCAUGUUAAUUAGUGAGCGAAAGAGCCAGGCUAGUGGUUUCUCUGUAUACAGUUUUUGUAGGUAUCAAUCCUCUCAUAAAACUCUCAGCAAGAAAGUGAUUAUGCACAAUUCUCAAAAUGUCAAACUAUUACUUCAAAAUGAAGAUGUUGGUUGUGACAAAUUCAAAGAAAUCAUUUUAGAGUCCCUGAGAAAUAAACAUUGUCCAGUACACAAACAUCCUCCUCAGAUUUAGCUUGCAACCCCUUGUGGGGGCCCUGACCCCCAAGUUGGGAACCCCUGCUGUAGACUAAUUUAAGACUUCAUAA